UCGGGCCUAUUCGAAGUUUCUAUCAGAAGUGCUGUAUUUUUUGUUAUUUUAUUCUUUACAAAAAGUGAAUCAAAUUAGUCGGAAAAAAAUAGGGGUCACGGACCAUUUAAGCUCAAAUUUUUACUUUUAAACAGGUAUGUAAAAGGGACCAUUUUUCAAUGAAAUGAUAGGGAAAAUAGAGGUGUUGACAUAUUUUUAUCGGAAUAACAAAAAA
rnacentral:lncRNA from 1 species